GCCAGAAGAGCAUAGUGGUUUGGGUGUUCGAAUGGGACUCUGGAGACCAGGGUUCGAUUCCCAGCUUGGUCA